UUUUAUGGAGAGUUUGAUCCUGGCUCAGGACGAACGCUGGCGGCGUGCUUAACACAUGCAAGUCGAACGGAAAGGCCUAGCUUGCUAGGUACUCGAG
rnacentral:rRNA from 1 species